rnacentral:rRNA from 1 species
AUGCUUGUCACCAAACUUGAACUGAAUGUCAUUGGCUCUGAGCACAUAAAAGACUUGUAUGCGCAUGACCCUACUUUUGCUAUUCCUUAUGCCAAAUGUUUGACGCAUACAUCUUGGGAACGCUAUAACAUCAAAGAUGGUUAUCUUAUGAGAGCUAACAAACUAUGCAUCCCCGAGUCCUCUCUUCGUUUGUUGAUUUUGCAAGAAUCUCAUGGUGGAGGACUAAUGGGACACUUUGGACGCGACAAGACAUUUGCUACGCUCUCCAAGAACUACUUUUGGCCCAAGAUGUUCUCAGACGUCUUCCGCUACACCAACCGAUGCUCUACAUGUUGCAAAGCUAAGUCUAAAGCUCAAUCUCAUGGCCUUUACAUGCCCCUUCCAAUUCCAUAUCAACCCUGGGAAGAUAUUAGUAUGGACUUUGUGCUUGGUUUGCCUCGAACUAGAAAUGGAAAGGAUUCCAUCUUCAUUGUUGUGGACCGAUUCUCUAAAAUGGCACAUUUCAUACCAUGCAACAAGAUAGACGAUGCUUCACAUGUUGCAAAUCAUUUUUGUAGGGAAAUCUUGCGCUUACAUGGAGUGCCAGAGACAAUUGUCUCGGACCGCGAUGUCAAGUUCUUGAGUUACUUUUAG